rnacentral:lncRNA from 10 species
GUCAGUCAUAUCUCGGUCUACAUGACAGAUUCUCUGGUCUCCCUGGGGUGAGAGGAGCGGACACUGUGAAUGCCAAACUGUCUGGAGGCUGCCAUGAGCGGCCAAUUUGUGAUCUCUGCUUUACCUGAAUUAUUUCCGUGAAUUGUGACAUCAACCUCGCCAGAUAAGAAAGAAGACUGAAGUUCAGAGAGGUGAAGGGACUGGCUCAGGGGCUACCCCUAUGGUUGCGGGAGCUAAGAUUCCAGCCCAGCAGCGUGAUCCAGAGCCCAUCUGAGCUACCCAGAUCUUCCUGCUGUUAAACCCGUCCUGGGGCAGCUCUUGCCUGAUGGGCUACCUGAGGAACCCACAGGAAAUCAAGGGAGGUGCCUGCAAAGUUGCCGUGGGGUCACAGCCUGCCCUUUGGAAGGGGCUGUUUCUGGGCUGCUGUGACUUCCUGCCAUUAUUUCCUCUCUGUUCUCCCUCUGGAAUGAAUAAAGUACUUCUGAAAAACCAUCAACCCAGUCGAUACGGAAAUGCUGGUCCCUACAAUAGAAUGCUCUGUGGUCAUUAAAAAGAUUAAAAAGGUCAA